GUGUCAGCAGCCGCGGUAAGACGAACCGUGCGAACGUUGUUCGGAUUCACUGGGCUUAAAGGGCGCGUAGGCGGGUGUCCAAGUCUGGGGUGAAAUCCUUCGGCCCAACCGGAGAACAGCCUCGGAUACUGGAUGUCUCGAGGGGGGUAGGGGCACGCGGAACUUCCGGUGGAGCGGUGAAAUGCGUAGAUAUCGGAAGGAACGCCGGUGGCGAAAGCGGCGUGCUGGACCCCUUCUGACGCUGAGGCGCGAAAGCCAGGGGAGCGAACGGGAUUAGAUACCCCGGUAGUCC
rnacentral:rRNA from 1 species